rnacentral:rRNA from 1 species
AACGCGAAGAACCUUACCUACUCUUGACAUCCAGAGAACUUAGCAGAGAUGCUUUGGUGCCUUCGGGAACUCUGAGACAGGUGCUGCAUGGCUGUCGUCAGCUCGUGUUGUGAAAUGUUGGGUUAAGUCCCGCAACGAGCGCAACCCUUAUCCUUUGUUGCCAGCGAUUCGGUCGGGAACUCAAAGGAGACUGCCGGGGAUAACUCGGAGGAAGGUGGGGAUGACGUCAAAUCAUCAUGCCCCUUAUGUUCUGGGCUACACACGUGCUACAAUGGCCGGUACAGAGAGACGCAAAAUCGUGAGGUGGAGCAAAACUCUAAAACCGGUCCCAGUUCGGAUUGUAGGCUGAAACUCGCCUACAUGAAGUUGGAGUUGCUAGUAAUCGCGAAUCAGAAUGUCGCGGUGAAUGCGUUCCCGGGUCUUGUACACACCG